UGUCUUUGUUAAAUUCCAGUCCACAGACA
rnacentral:piRNA from 1 species